UGGGGAAUAUUGCGCAAUGGGGGAAACCCUGACGCAGCGACGCCGUGUGAGGGAAGAAGGCUUUCGGGUCGUAAACCUCUGUCGGGAAGGAAGAACCCCUCGGGUCCCAAUAGGGCUCGAGGCUGACGGUACUUCCAAAGGAAGCACCGGCUAACUCCGUGCCAGCAGCCGCGGUAAUACGGAGGGUGCGAGCGUUAAUCGGAAUCACUGGGCGUAAAGCGCGCGUAGGCGGCCUUUUAAGUCGGACGUGAAAGCCCUCGGCUCAACCGGGGAAUUGCGUUCGAUACUGGGAGGCUUGAGUCCUGGAGAGGGUGGCGGAAUUCCGGGUGUAGGAGUGAAAUCCGUAGAUAUCCGGAGGAACACCGGUGGCGAAGGCGGCCACCUGGACAGGUACUGACGCUG
rnacentral:rRNA from 1 species